UGGGGAAUCUUGCGCAAUGGGCGGAAGCCUGACGCAGCAACGCCGCGUGGGGGAUGACGGCCUUCGGGUUGUAAACCUCUUUCGCGAUCGACGAAGGCCCACUUUCUGUGGGUUGACGGUAGGUCGAGAAGAAGCACCGGCCAACUACGUGCCAGCAGCCGCGGUAAUACGUAGGGUGCGAGCGUUGUCCGGAAUUAUUGGGCGUAAAGAGCUCGUAGGCGGUGUGUCGCGUCGGCCGUGAAAACCUGGGGCUUAACUCUGGGCGUGCGGUCGAUACGGGCAUCACUUGAGUUCGGCAGGGGAGACUGGAAUUCCUGGUGUAGCGGUGAAAUGCGCAGAUAUCAGGAGGAACACCGGUGGCGAAGGCGGGUCUCUGGGCCGAUACUGACGCUGAGGAGCG
rnacentral:rRNA from 1 species